CUUAGGGAGGAGGAGCUUCGAGCGGCGGCCGCACGGCGGGCUCCGACCUGUCGGGAUCGGUAGCCGCAUGGCUUCGGCCUUCUCUGCUGCGGCCGUCACGGGCUGCGGGGCCCGGAACCUGCUGCAGUUCCUGCGGCUGGUGGGACAGCUCAAGAGAGUCCCACGGACUGGCUGGGUAUACAGAAAUGUCCAGAAGCCAGAGAGCGUAUCAGAUCACAUGUACAGGAUGGCAGUUAUGGCUCUGCUGACCAAAGAUGAACAUCUUAACAAAGAUCGAUGCGUACGCCUAGCCCUGGUUCACGAUAUGGCAGAAUGCAUCGUUGGGGACAUAGCACCAGCAGAUAACGUCCCCAAAGAAGAAAAACAUAGGCGAGAAGAGGAAGCUAUGAAGCAGCUAACCCAGCUCCUCCCAGAGGAUCUCAGAAAGGAGCUUUAUGAACUUUGGGAAGAAUAUGAAACCCAAUCUAGUGCAGAAGCUAAAUUUGUGAAGCAGCUGGACCAAUGUGAGAUGAUUCUUCAGGCAUCUGAAUAUGAAGACCUUGAGAACAAGCCCGGGAGACUGCAGGACUUCUACGAUUCCACGGCAGGAAAAUUCAGUCACCCUGAGAUAGUCCAGCUUGUUUCUGAGCUUGAGGCAGAAAGAAACGCUAACAUAGCUGCCACCGCCACCAGUGAACCACACUCCUGAGACGCACUCCUGUAACACACGUUUUAUGUUUCUGUUUGAUGGUAUUGUGUUUGCCACUGUUGGUCUGUUGAUUUCCUCAGAUGUGAGUCUGUUUAUUUUCAAUUGCCUGGACUCCAGCAAGAAACGCAAUACAAUUUGGACAAUAAAGGAAGCUACAGAACAGGAUGUGGUCCUGAAAAUACCAUGGAUGAAGACGUGGAGGAUGGGGGGCUUUUUAUGAACUAAAAAAACCUUGAUUAUAAGCAGAUUUAUCACCAGACGAGAAAUAGAAGAGUUAUUACUGGGUCACUGGACCUUAUGGAGAGAACACAUCAGGUCUGACUUCUUCCCCUCAUUUCCCUUUCACAGGAUAAGUAAUCUGCCCGCUUGCCUUUAAAUGCUGCACAGCCACUGAGUGGUGAGGAGAGGAAGGCUAUCCAUGCAAACCUGCCCAGUAAUUUGGUGGUUGCAUGAUGCCUGCCCCUUUCAUUCAAAUGUCAGUUUCCAUUUGAAGAAGGUCUAAAAAGGCUGGCAUGGUGAGACUUCUAGGCACCGUUUCUUUGGAAACCCUUUGCAGUAUCCAUGGAUACCGAAUCUGCCGGAAGCAAGGUGCAUGAACUCUUCAGGAGCAACACACGUGUACAUAGAGCUGAUCUGCGCUGGGAAGAGCAGUGCUGCUCUGCACUGAAAUGCUGUUGCAUCAUAGCAAGAGUAUGUCAAAGGCAGUAAAUGAUUGAAUCAAGUCAGCAGAGUCUGGUUAUUAUUGGAGGUAUGGAUAAGAAGAAAACAACUAUAUCAGUAUUUUGGAGUUUUUUUUUCUCCCGGCAUGAAAACAUGCACACAAAAUAACCCUAGAUAAAGUUCAGAUAUUUAUAAUCAGAAGAUUUUCUGUGACCCUGGAGUUUUAUUUGGGUUGUUUGUCUCCUGUAAUUAUCAUAAAUCCACACGGAGACUUUGGAAGUCUUUGCUGGGUCAGACUUAAUACUAGUCACAAUCAUCUCGGUUUUCCAUUUACCUACUAAGUGAGGGUUCACACUGAGCCCUAAACCUUCCUUACUACGCAAAUAUAUUUAAAAACAGAAAAUGUAAUGGUGUUACAAGUAAAAUAGCCUUUAAUAAGGACAAAAUGAAGAUCAAUAAAAGAAGAUAGCAGUUGAAUUUACCAGGCAAUGUCUACAAAUAGUUAUGUAUUUAUCACUUUAAUGUUUUUCUUCUUAGAUACCUAUGCUACUUGUCUGGAAUUGGUCUUCCGAACAAGAAACCCUAGAACUAUGUUGCAGAGUAAAGAAUUAUUCUUGGGUUGAACUGUUGGUCUGCAAAGUGGCUCCCCUACAUGGAGGGCAAGGAGAGACCACAGAAGAGGCAGCCACUCCAGGUUGGUAGGUGGCUGGUUUAUAAGCAAGGCAACUUACGUAGGAGGCUUGUCGGGAGAGGCCUCAAGACAAGAUCUCUGCUUAAGUUUAUAUCGAAGCUUUAACUGGCUUCAGUCAGUCAUGUGUACCAUCCAGACCAUUACUGUCUCUAGGCAGCGUCCUUGAAACAGCUCCCAGUGUGGGAACGGUAGGUGGAACGUACAUUACAAGGACAGGGAUGGGGUGAGGAGCCUCCAGUUGCCUGAGUCCAGCUCUCUGGUCAGCUGGUGGUUGCACCCUCUUGAUGAUCUCCUCCAACAUGAACUCAACAAAAAAAGAAUUCCUUGUUACCUCUUUGUAAUGAGAAAGAGACUACCCCACUCAAAAAGAGGAGCAGGUGGAAGGGUUGGGCUGCAGGGGCCACUUUAGGGUAGUUCUCCCUGCCUGGUCCGUGGGGCCGAUUGGGGUGGGGGUGGUGGUUCUGUCCCCAAACCUAUUGCUUGUUUUUCCAUUGUUUGUGGGCAGCCAUUUCCCUAGCUCUUACAUAAUUCUCAAUGCCCUUAUAUUUGAAAAAUAUUAAUUCUAACGGAAUGUCCAGCCUGUUCAUCUUAAAAUCUUGUAACAUAUGCUCUGGGAUAAAUGACUAACGAAGUGCCUCGGGCAUAGCAUCCUCUGCUCCCAGCAUCUUCAUCCAAGUAGCUUGCUAGUCUUUAUAGACAAAGUGAGUUUGGGGAUGAUUUCUGUGGGAGACUUGGGAUUAUGUUAUUUGUGGUUUGCCUUGAUAUAUACUCUUUAUGGUAUAAACUGAAAGUCAAGUAGAAAAGUAGAAUAAAGAAUUUUACCAUUCUCAAAUAAAGAUGAUCAAAAAUAACCGUAAGAUUUUGCCAAAUAUAGUCUGAAAUUAUAUUUGAACACCAGGUUGGAAGAAGCUGCUUUACAUGUCAUAUUUAAAUCACUUUUUAACCUUAUCACCAUCUUCCUUUAUUGUACCCACCCACACUCCAAUUUGAUAAAAAGUGAGAGGAGAGGCUUGGGGUUAAAGCUUAUGCACCACUUUACAGUGGAGUUCAACAACUUGCAAGCUGACGGGUAAUUUUGGAACAAUGCGCAGUGUUAGAAGAGCCACUUAGAUUCCCAGAGUUCUCUUCACGUUGACCACUGUGAGUGCCGUGGCUUAUCAGGACAGUUUGUUCUGUUUUCUAUGGUACAAAAGCAGAUUUAUAAGAAAUUGUGUAAUUUAGGGAAAGAUACAGAUUGCUUUGCUGACAUAACCUACAAAUAGUCACAAUCUGUGACUCUCUCUUGCCUACUUAACUCAGUUGUAACCAGAGUUAACUACUACUCUAGGUAGAUUGG